GAUGAACGCUAGCGGCAGGCUUAACACAUGCAAGUCGAGGGGUAGAGGAAGCUUGCUUCCUUGAGACCGGCGCACGGGUGCGUAACGCGUAUGCAAUCUACCUUCAACAGGGGGAUAGCCCAGAGAAAUUUGGAUUAAUACCCCAUAGUAUUUUUGCCUGGCAUCAGGUGAUUAUUAAAGUUCCAACGGUUGAAGAUGAGCAUGCGUCCAAUUAGCUAGAUGGUAAGGUAACGGCUUACCAUGGCUCCGAUGGGUAGGGGUCCUGAGAGGGCGAUCCCCCCCACGGGUACUGAGACACGGACCAGACUCCUACGGGAGGAAGCAGUGAGGAAUAUUGGUCAAUGGGCGCAAGCCUGAACCAGCCAUGCCGCGUGCAGGAUGAAGCAUCUAUGGUGUGUAAACUGCUUUUGUACGGGAAGAAACACCGGUUCGUGAACCGGCUUGACGGUACCGUAAGAAUAAGGAUCGGCUAACUCCGUGCCAGCCGCCGCAGUAAAAC
rnacentral:rRNA from 1 species